rnacentral:tRNA from 1 species
GGUUAAAUGGCUGAUAAAAGUAAUAGACUGUAAAUCUAUACAUAAGGAAGAUUCCUUUUUAACCA